CGGCGGACGGGUGAGUAACGCGUGGGUAACCUGCCUCAUACAGGGGAGUAACAGUUAGAAAUGACUGCUAAUACCGCAUAAGACCACAGCACCGCAUGGUGCGGGGUAAAAACGUACCGGUGGUAUGAGAUGGACCCGCGUCUGAUUAGCUAGUUGGUAAGGUAACGGCUUACCAAGGCGACGAUCAGUAGCCGACCUGAGAGGGUGACCGGCCACAUUGGGACUGAGACACGGCCCAA
rnacentral:rRNA from 1 species